CCCACUCACAGCAUGCAGAGGUUCCUGGGCCAGAGACUGAACCCAAGCCAUAGCAAUGACAACACCAAAUACUUAACCACUAGGCCAACCAGGAAACUCCCUGGACUUUUUGAAUUUUCCAUCAAAUUCAAGUAUUAUGCUUUUUCAAACCACUUUUUAAAAAAUUGAAGUAUAGUUAAUUUACAGUGUUAUAUUAGUUUCAGGUGUAUAGCAAAGUGAUUCAGAUAUACAUAUGAAUCUUUUACAGAUUCUUUUCCAUUAUAGGUUAUUACAAAAUAUUGAAUAUAGUUUCCUGUGUACACAGUAGGUCCUUCUUGUUUACCUGUUUUAUAUAUAGUAGUGUGUAUAUUUUUAAUCCCAAAUUCUUAACUAUGUUUUAAUUAAAUUAAAAUUCUUUGGGAAGACGACUCAAGGUCUAGGGUUUUUUUAAGCCAUAUAGAUGACUAUCUCCUGUUAGAACAGUCUAGUAUUUUUCUGGAAAUAUUCACGGGGAGAAGAAACACUAAUUCUUUCCAAUUGUCUUCUUAAACUCAGAAAUGGAAAAUAUAUAUGCACAUAUAAAACAAUAUCAUCUUAAGGAUCCUUUUUGACCCCUUAAUUAGCUACUAAAAGUAUUUCUGAUGCUUUCAAGAUAGACUCUAUAUAUGUGAAAGAAUACACCAAUAAAGUGCACAACUCAAAAAGACAAGCUAAUAUAAACUACUUUUAACAUUCUAUAUCUUCACAAUUUGGACUGCCAUUACCAGUCUAUAACACAUGUUUCUAAUUUUGAAUCAAUACAGCAAUUAUACCCUAAGACCCUGAAUAUUAGAGUAGAUUGUCCUUUGAGAAUUAAACGAAGAAAUUAACAAAAGAUUAUGCUAGUGUUCUUUUAUAACAAUAGUUCUGAAGGCGUCUUACAUUUAAAUGCUUGUGAGGAUUACCUUAUAUCCUAUCACCUACGAAGGUUUGUUAACACCAUAUCUCCUAAGCUGAAAUCAGAACAUAUAUUGAAGUUUGAAAAUGCCCCCUUCUCUUGGGGAACACUCCCUCUCCAGCAGAGGAAUUACACUGCUUUACGGAGAUCUAAUCACUCCUAGGUCCAAGACUUAACUGUAACCAAAUUUAACAUAUUGUCUCCAUAAAAAAAAAAAAAAAUCUGUCUCAAUGUUUCCCCUAAACUCUGAACUCACAUCUCCAACUUCCUACAAGUCAGCUCCUCAUGGGACGUCUCUUGAACUUAAGAUAUUGAAAAUAGAAACCUUAAUACUCACUCUCUCAAAUCUGCUCCUCCUAACUGCUCCUAACUCAGUAAAUGGAAUCAUCAUUCUCCCAGUUGCUCAAUCUCAAAGGAUUCAUCCUUGAUUUCUCUAUUCCUAAAUUCCCUACAUCCAAUCCAUUGCCUCUGCCUUUAUAAUACAUUCCCCAAAUGCCCACUUCUCUCCAUUUCCAUUACUACCAUCUGAGAACAAACUUCUAUCAUCUCUUCCUUAGACUAUAGUAUCAUUUACCUCCUAAAAGCUCCAUCCACAAUGUCUUAAACAUGCCAAGCUCAUUUCCAUUUUGUGUCCAAGACAUUCCUUCUGCUUAGAAUAUUCCUCCCACAUACUCUCAGGGUUGCUGCUUCUCAGCUCAAAUGUCACCCACCCCAGCAGAUUUCCCUGACCACCCAAUCAAGGAUAACACCACCCUCAUCUCAAUCAUUCUCUAUAGCAGUAACUUAUUUUCCCCCUCCUUAGCACUUAUCACAAUCUAAAAUUAAUUUGUUUAUUUGCUUGUUGUCAAUGUCCUCCCACUAGACUGUGAGCUCCAUUAGAGCAGGAACCACAUUCAUUGUAUCUAGAAUAGUGCCUGAUGUAUAGAGGGUGCUUAAUAAAUAGUCGAUAAAUGAAGGAACAUAUCUAAAGAAAGACUAUGUCAACCAUGAAAAAUAAUGGUUGAGAGAGAAGAGUAACAAAAUAUUUUAAAAUGUCAACUGGGGAGUUGGUUUUUGGAUACAAGCCCACCUAAAUAAAGUCCACAACCUUCUGAAUAAAGCAACCUUUCCUUUCCAACCAAAAAAAAAAAAAAAAAAAAAAA
ensembl:lncRNA